rnacentral:lncRNA from 1 species
AAUGGCUGGACUUGGAACGUGUGCUAAUUAGCAAGGUUAUACGGAUGGAGGUAAAUGUGUGUAACCUCACACAUUCUGAAUCCAGCCAAUAGUCAUGUAUGGCCGUGAGUGGAAGAGAAAGACAAAGGCUGACUUGGGAGGUGAGAAAGGGAGGGGUGCGUGUCAUAAGCUGUAGAAGGAUAUAAAGCUAAUUGUUUUUCUACUUUGGUGGUAGUUUGGUUUGGAUGGUUAAAUGCAUAAAUACAUCCAACAGUGAUUAAAAACAGACGUGCUGAUUGUACUCUCGGUAACCCCUGAUGCAGUGGUGAUGCCCUUGUGCUUUUUCUGUUGCAGUGAGAGUAGCAUGUUUGUCUCCAAGAGACGUUUCAUUUUGAAGACAUGUGGUACCACCCUCUUACUGAAAGCACUGGUUCCCCUGUUGAAGCUUGCUAGGGACUACAGUGGGUUUGACUCGAUUCAAAGCUUCUUUUAUUCUCGUAAGAAUUUCAUGAAGCCUUCUCACCAAGGGUACCCACACCGGAAUUUCCAGGAAGAAAUCGAGUUUCUUAAUGCAAUUUUCCCAAGUAAGUAAACCUAGAGUAUAAUGACUCUUGCCGUUUAGAGCUGGGUGGGUAUUUUGUGUUUGUUUCUAAGAUGGGUUUCAUGAUAGCCCGUGCUGGUCUGGAUCUGACCUGGAACACCAGGAGUUGUUUACACUGCUUGAUGCUGCGGGGUUCAUUUUAUUUAUGUUCUGCUUACCUGGAUGUUAUAAAGACUUCAGACAUGUUAGUUGUGUGGGUAAAACAGUACAGUUGUAUUAUGCACGUGUGAAAAUAAUGUGGCCAGAGUGAGUUUGUGGCAAGUGAGGCAGUAGGGCAUGCACCGUACUCAUGGUGACUAAGUAGACUGCAGGGAUGCUUGAG